CGGACUGGUAAGAGCGCGCGCCGACACAGCCCUCUCUCAUGCGCCCAAUCAGGAGUAUGCGGUGGGAGGUGUCAUGGAUUAAUUACCAGAUACCUUUAGUCGAUGUUGAGCCGGGAUUUUGAGAUUUCCGGUGGAGCAGCACCUGUUGAUUUGUGCUGGUACCUGGAAGAGAUGUAACACCUGAUCAUGGGACAUCAAGUGACUGUGUCAAUCAAACUGCGCAUCAUGAAUUGGUGUUAUUUGACUCACCAAAUUGUACAACUGAAUGAGCACAGGAACAGUGCACUACAUAUGGGACUGGAACCAUGAAUGAGCAGGUGACUAGACUCCUAUAGUACCUGCCUCUAUUCCUUCAACAAUUCUCCCUCAAUGCACAUAAACUGUCAUCAUAAGGAGUUCCCUCUGACCAGUUAAUGGAAGAGAAAAAAGUAUGGAUCUUAUGGAUAUCCUAACACAUCUCUGGCCAUUGGACCCCUAGAAACCUGUGGCAAGUCCUGGAAGUUUUUCAAGGUUCAUCUUGCACCUUUCUUACCAAAACAUGUAGAAUGCUGCCUACUUCUGCUCAUCAGUUUUAUUUAAUAUAAUUUCAUUACUAUAA